UGAGGAAUAUUGGACAAUGGGCGAAAGCCUGAUCCAGCAAUGCCGCGUGAGUGAUGAAGGCCUAUUAGGUUGUAAAGCUCUUUUAGCAGGGAAGAUAAUGACGGUACCUGCAGAAAAAGCCCCGGCUAACUACGUGCCAGCAGCCGCGGUAAUACGUAGGGGGCUAGCGUUGUUCGGAUUUACUGGGCGUAAAGAGCGCGUAGGUGGUUUAAUAAGUUAGAAGUGAAAUCCCGGAGCUCAACUUCGGAACUGCUUCUAAAACUGUUUAACUAGAGUGUGGUAGGGGUAAUAGAAUUCCUAGUGUAGAAGUGAAAUUCUUAGAUAUUAGGAGGAAUACCGAUGGCGAAGGC
rnacentral:rRNA from 1 species